GUCUUCAUGGUAUAAUCGGAAACAUUCUCGACUCGUAUUCGAGAGAUCCAGGGUUCGAGUCCCAGGAAGGCA
rnacentral:tRNA from 1 species